AUUCGGCUACUGAGAACGUCGUAGGCGGUGUUGCUGAGCAGUGGGGAGGAGUGGGCUCGCUUCCUGGGGUCUUUUCCGCCUGCAUCUUUUGGGGGACAGGCAGUAGGGUUGGGGUAAAGGCAUGUGGAAUGCUUGCUAAGGCCUGGAGUGGAGCGAGGCGAGGCGACUUGGAGAGGACUCGAAGGAGGUUGGGGAUCUGGGAGGGCGGAAAUGGGACGGGGACGGUGGGGUGAGGUCUUUGUCGUCCCUAAUCAGCGCCCUUACGGAUGAGCCGAGGCAGCUUCCGCUGUGAGCACGGGCACCGAAGCUGGGACAGCAGGCUUAGGUUCUAGUUCCGUGUCUGCUGCUAACUAGCUGUUUAACCUCGCUUAGGGCACUUCCCAUCUGUAAGCCUCACUUGCAGUCUGUGCUGUGAGUGGGGUCGGCCUCACAGGUAGUGAUGCGCCGCCUGGGUCCCUUUGAUAGUUUCAGAAAGCUUUCUUGAGACUCAGAAUAUUUAUUAGUUUUUAUCAAUAAAAAAAUCAUAGCAAUAAGAUCAAAGGUGGCUCACACCGUGGGAGGCGCAGGCGGGAGGAUCUCUUGAGCCCAGGAGUUCGAGACCAGCCUGGGCAACAUCGGGAGACCCCAUCUCUACAAAACAUUUAAAAAAAAUUAUCCAGGCGUGGUGGUGCGUGCUUGUAGUCCCAACUACUCGGGUAUCUGAGGUGGGAGGAUCAGUUGAGCCCAAGGAGUUUAGGGCUGCAGUGAACCUGGAUUGCGCUACUGCACUCCAGCCUGGGUGACAGAGUGAGACCCUGUCUCCAAAAUAAAUAAAUAAAUUCCAUAUAAAUAAAUAAAUGAAUAAACAAACUCCAUUGCUCAGUGGAAAGGUGCAGGAAGGCCUGGUGCAGACUUCUCAGCAGUGACCCAGUGUUGGGCAGAACUGUGGAGCCCCAAUUUCUGCUGAGCACUGGGCCUGUGCUGGGUGGGAGAGAAAAGAAAUACGGUCCCUUUAUGCUAAGUCAGUGGUUCUCAACUUUGAGUACAGUAUACAUUUCUUUACAGGGGAUUCUGGGAGUAUGUCCAAAGGUUUUAGUUUGAGAAACAUUGGCUUAAACAAUUUCUUUGGUGGUGACCUUGUACCAUUUUGAUUUUAAACAUUAGA
rnacentral:lncRNA from 10 species